AAGUCGUCGGAAUUUGUAAGUUCAUCAUGCAUGGAAUGAUUACUUCCCUUUACCCACAUUGUGUGGGGUUAAUACUGAAUGCUAAAGGAACCUUUAAUGUCAACAAUGGAAGAACCAAUGGCAGGACCCAACAUCAAUAGUACCCAGCUGGAUAUUUUAGACUCUUAUCCAUCUACCACUUCAACGGAUAUUAAUAGCAUACCAUCUGAGAUUCUACAAAGUAUUUUCCAUGAUGCCAAAAAUAUUUCACAGACGGCAAAUGGAAUUGUUCAAAUGCCCGGAUGUGAUGACAGUUCUUCAUUUUUUGUUAUCAACAGAGUCCAAAAAUCUGAUCCAUUCAAAGUGUAUAGGUCUAAAUGUGCAUCCUUGUUUCCAUGUGAAACUAAAUGUCAUCGCUAGAAUAGUUAUAAUCUUUGUGAACAUACAAGAGCUACAUCAAUCUACUGUGAUAUAUUUUUGGAUUAUAUUCAAAAAUAUAAAGCAAAGUUUUCAAAGUUGAAAGGAAAUCUUACUGCUAUCUCUCUAACUGGAAAGCCUCGGAAUAGAGGGCAAAAGCAAAAAGGAACAUCAGUUCGAAAAGGCAAAAAUAAUAAAACUUGCACUGAAGUAAUAGAUUAUUUAAAUCCAGAAAAUCCAGAAAAAAGAAAUAUGUUAGAUCUCCAACAGCCAUUUCAUUUGACAUUUCUGGCUGGUUUAGUAAAAAAAAAAGCUAUUAUUGUGGACAUUUAUUUACAGACAAAUUAAGAAAACCGCCCAAUGAUCUUGAACUCAAACGGUAUGAUUACCGGAAGUAUCUGGGCCCAAAUUCUAAGACACCAAGAGUUUCUACUUCCUUGCAAAAUACGUAUUACCAACUGAAUGCAGAUUGUUGUCGGAGACAAUGUCCAUUGUUUGAAAUGUCUCGCCAUGUCAUAGUGCAUUCAGAAAUUUCAGCACAAUUAUCAUCAGGAUAUCGGGACAAUUUAAGGAAAUGUAACAUAACAAUAAAUUAAUUAUUUUUACUUGACUUUCAUUUUGUAGAAAAACAUUCAUAAGCUGUUAUGAAUUUCAAACGUUUUUUCCAUUUCAGCAAUAAUGCAGCUGUAAUAUUUUUUACAAUUAUAUCUUGUGUAGAACUGAUGAACAAAUAAAGCAAUUAAUAUAUGUAUUUGUAUAAAAACCCCGCUCCUAAAUGAAUGUGCCACCAUUCGUCAUCGUCAAUUAGGGGAGGGGAGUUUUAUGUGCCUGUGUUUAAAAGUCAUAUAAAUAAAACAAUGUUGUGCCCCAUUCUGUUUCUGAUAACAUAAUUGGAAUGACAGAUCAAACGGACUCCUAAUUAAGAUUGACACACCAAGCUCCACCCCCUCCACUCUGGACCCUCCAAAGUGGCGGGUCCAUCGUCAGCAUUUUACCCCAAGCCAAAAAUAACCCCGCUGUUGCCUCAAGCGAACGGAGAAGGAGAGAUAUAUGAAGACUAUAGGAAAGGCAAUAAGAGCAGCACAUAGCGAACAUCGGAGCUAGAAACAAGAACUUAACAACUUCCUAAAAAAUUAUAGAGUCACGCCUCCUUCGACUACCAACGCGACUCCAGCAGAAUUGCUGCUAGGACGAAAAUUAAAAAGUCGUGUUCCUGAGAUCAUCCCGCCAGCAGUGAAUAAGAAAGUAAUCCAAGACAAUGACUGGAAACGAAAAGAACAAAUGAAACAAUAUGCUGAUGAAAAACGAAAGGCAACACAACAUAAAUUAAAGAUAGGAGAUCAAGUCCUGGUCAAACAACAGAAAUUGGAUAAAUUAUCAACUCCGUACAAUCCACAGCCGUACACAGUAAUUAAACAACAUGGGCCCAUGAUUACUGCGAAAACAGAAGAUAACGAAUUAACAAGAGACAAUUAACGGAAUGCGAUGAGCCAGCUGAGACCUCAGAUGACCUGUGUGAAAACUUCAUUAACCCGCAGCCGCCGACACAGCAGGAACCUAGACGGUCAACACACGUACGCAAAUCACCAUCGUACCUAGAAGAUUACUUGUGUAAAUAGUGCUCUAAUAGAUGUAAAGGGGCAUAAUAAUCCCCUCAAUUUUAAACAUACUUAGAUAUGUAUUGGUUUUAGUGUAGUAUUUAGAAAGGACGGUGAUAUUCUGAAUACACUUUUUGAAAUGUGUGCUUCAAUCAAACAAGAAAAAAAUUGCAACACUGAAUUAUAGGUCUAAUGAAUUUUAUUUUAAACAUGUGCUCCAUUCUGAAGAACGGGAGGGAUAUAAUGUCCAAACAUUUAGAACCGACUCCUGACAUGUGUUUAUUUAUGUGUUUAUAUUCAAGCUAUUAAGCGCUCUCUGACUACCCAUGUUCUCACGGGUAAAUCUAUGUACAAUCCCAACAUCUGUUAUCAUAUGAAAUAUCACUUCACUUAAUAAAUAGUUAGCAAACC
rnacentral:misc_RNA from 1 species